rnacentral:tRNA from 1 species
UCCUGGUGGCUCAGACCAUAAAGAAUCUGUCUGCAACACAGGAGACCCAGGUUCAAUCCCUGGGUCAGGAA